AUUGAACGCUGGCGGCAUGCCUUACACAUGCAAGUCGAACGGCAGCACGGGAGCAAUCCUGGUGGCGAGUGGCGAACGGGUGAGUAAUAUAUCGGAACGUGCUCAGUCGUGGGGAUAACGUAGCGAAAGCUACGCUAAUACCGCAUACGAUCUAUGGAUGAAAGCGGGGGAUCGCAAGACCUCGCGCGAUUGGAGCGGCCGAUAUCAGAUUAGGUAGUUGGUGAGGUAAAGGCUCACCAAGCCGACGAUCUGUAGCUGGUCUGAGAGGACGACCAGCCACACUGGGACUGAGACACGGCCCCAGACUCCUACGGGAGGCAGCAGUGGGGGAAUUUUUGGACAAUGGGCGCAAGCCUGAUCCAGCAAUGCCGCGUGCAGGAUGAAGGCCUUC
rnacentral:rRNA from 1 species